UACGUAGGUGGCGAGCGUUAUCCGGAAUCAUUGGGCGUAAAGGGUGCGUAGAUGGCAUGAUAAGUUAUUGGUGGGAAAUCGAGGCUCAACCUCGUGGAAGCUAGUAAUACUGUUUUGCUUGAGUACAGAAGAGGUUAACGGAACUCCAUGUGGAGCGGUAAAAUGCGUAGAUAUAUGGAAGAACACCAAUAACGGCGAAGGCAGUUAACUAUUCUGUUACUGACAUUGAGGCACGAAAGCGUGGGGAGCAAAAAGG
rnacentral:rRNA from 1 species